CUCGCCGUGACUUGCAUGUUGAAAGUUUAAAAAAGAAAGACGGCCUGGUUUAUUAGUUUAGUCUAGUCUCUAUGAUUGCGUCCAUCGUGUUUUUGUUCUUUAUUAUGUCCACAUUUUGGUCACGUAAAAGAGUUCUAUUCAACACGUCGUGCGGGAUCAGUUCUUCACUAGCUAGCUUAGCCUGUUUCAGCGGAAGUUAGCAACACACACGGCGCAUGCGCCAGUCGCCCUGGUGCUGGAGGGAAUGUUGCAACGAAACGACUGAAAAUUCUUGUCGAGUUUGUUCUCUUGUCGCUGCGUAUAUUUCGAAAGGAUCGUUACUGUGAACGGCUAGCUUAGCUCGCUAGCUGCUAACAAAGACCCGGAAGUGAUCAACAAAUCGCUAAACGGAGAUCGAGUAUGAGUGUAAAGUGUCGCGAUCGUGUGAAAAUGUGUCCAAAUGUCCAAAUGCUGAGAGCGUUGGUGAACCAGCGACUAGCUUUGGCUGUGGAAGAAAUAUUUGUAGUGUUGGAAAGAACCAUAGCAGAGUACGAGGAGGAACUUUGUCGAACAAAAGAGGAGAACGAGCGACAACGUCAACUACUGGACGCUGUUUCCAAGAGGUACCAAGUUGGGUUGCACGGAGCAGAUAUCAGUGAAGAACAUCUCCCCCCUGAGCAGCAGGAGUGGAGCUCCAGGGUGGAAGAACAUCAGCCCCGGCCCCCCCACAUCAAAGAGGAAGAGGAGGACCACAGCAUCAGCCAGGAGGGAGAGCAUCUUGAAGGACCGGAGGAGUUCCCAGUGAUUGGCGUCCCUGUGAAGAGUGAAGAUGAUGAAGACGAUGAAGGUGAAAGUGAAAGUGAGGAGAAGAGAGAGGCGGAGCCUCCGAGCAGCAGCUCAACUCAACACAUGACAACAGAAGCCGAUGGAGACCACUGUGGAGGAUCACCAGCAGACAAGCUCUUAGCUCCACUAUCAGAUAGCGAGCACACGACGUCACACUCUCCUGACACUGAUGAUGAUGAUGAAGACUCUACAGCUGAUAUGACAUGUCACCCUGACAACACACGCUUGAAAUGCCAACACUGCGACAAGACCUUCAAGUACCGUAGUCAUUUAAAAAUGCACAUGAGAAGUCACACAGGAGAGAAACCAUUCAAGUGCUCAGUUUGUGGUAAAAGAUACUCUCGGAAGCUAAGUUUGACAGAGCAUAGUAGAAUACAUACUGGGGAGAAACCUUUUUCCUGUUCAGUAUGCGGCACCGGAUUUAGAAUCAAUCAGGAUUUGCAAAUCCACGUGAGAACGCACACCGGAGAGAAUCCCUUUUCCUGUUCCAUCUGUGGAAAAGGAUUCUCUCGGAAGUCCAAUUUGACCGCACAUACAAAAGUUCACACUGAAGAGAAAAGCUUCAUCUGUUCCGUGUGCGGUAAAGGUUUUUCCCAGAAUCAGUAUUUGAAAAUCCACAUGAAAAGACACGCUCCGGAAAAACCAUACUGCUGUUCCGUGUGUGGUAAAGGUUAUGCAAAAAAAGAUGAUUCGGAAAUUCACGUACGGACGCACGACAGCAUGAAGAUGUUUGGGUGCAGCGUUUGUGAGCAAAGAUUCUCUUAUCAGUUCCAGCUUCUCAACCACAAGUGUGCUGGGGAGAACGGCGACAGGAAGUGAAGCCGCACCGCCUGACAUCAGCUCUGGGACUUGGAUAACUUUCUAACAUCACGUGUGACGUUGUUGUGACGUUGUUGUGACGUUGUUGUGACGUUGUUGUGACGUUGUUGUGUGCUAGCUUGCUAAUGUGCUUCCACCAUUAAAAUGCUACGUGGUGACAUCUAGGAAUGGAAUACUGUAGGCUCCUUUCCUGUGCCGUCAGACUACUUCCUCUUUUCUUUUUUCAGGACUUGCUUGUGGAGUACGAUGUACACAAACAAUUGGGGCGGGGGGGGGUCAAUAAUAUUUUAUUUCUGUGGCGUUGACCAGGAUGAGAGCAGCUGGUGGGACCUCUUUGGACGAUCGUGAUCAUCUGCUGCGAUGCUUCUGGCCCGACCGCUGCUUCAUCCGGUAUCGUUGUCUCCUGUGGAGUGUGCCGUCACCGGGAUCCUUUUGGUGGGCACAGGCGGGGAGAGCUGGGACUCCCAAAGUCUCAAAUAGGUCUCAUAUGAUGCAAUAAAAAGUCUUGGACCAUGGAUCAGAAGAAGAAACAGAAAGAAGUGGGAGUGGCUAAUGACUCGGGCUGUCACGAAACACUCACUUGAGGAGACGAGACGUACAAUGCAACCAUGUGACUUUAUUUAACAAUGCAGGUACAUUUUGAAAUGUUUUUGUCCAACAAAUUGACAAGAUAAACUCUUAAUGUUAUGAUACGAUGUUGCACGUCACACGUGACGUUGUACAGCUUCACUUCCUGCCGCUGUUCUCCCCAGCACACGUGUGGUUGCUAAGCUGGUACUUGUAAGAGAAUCGUUCAUCACACACGCUGCAACUCAGCACUUUCUCUCCCGUGUGUCUCCUCGU